GUCUCUCCCCUGCUGUGUCCCCUUCCCUCGGCUCGGCGGGCGCCAUGUUGGCUUGAGAGGAAGAUGACAGGCAGCGGCUGCGGGCGCGGGGCAGAGAGCGGAUCGCACUGAGACGGCCCCGGCCCACGGCGAGACGAGGCAGGGCAGCCCGCCCGGCACUGGGGUCCCCGCCGGGCCGCUGAGGGAGCCGUUGGACGGGGGAGGCAGCGGCGAUGAGAGCAGAGACCUGAGGCUGCUGCGGGCUGGAGGCGGCUGCCGUUUAAAUUCCCCUUGAGGCGCUGCCGCUCCCGGAGCGGUGUGGGGGAGGGCACCCCGGGCCGGGGAGAGACGCUGCCCUUCUCCCUCGCCCGCAGACACCGUGCAGGGUGGUCCGCCCCCGGCACCCCCGCCUCCUGGGAGGACACAAACUUCAGCCGCUCGCUCCGGCCGCCGGAAGGUCGCCCAGCCUGUCUGGGUCGCCCGCUUUAAUGAGGAGGUGACUUGGGCGCAGAGCUAUCCCGUGAAUCAUCCCGUCAUUAUCCGUCUGGGCUGGAGAAGGAAGAAAAACCCCCCGCCCGCAGUUCAUGUCACUGUACAGCCCUGUCUGGUCCACCUGGCACCGCUGCUGCUGACAAGGAUCUGCUGCCAUCUCCGGGCUGCUGCUGUGCCCGCUGGAGACCGGCUCCUCUUGGAUAUUUCCCCCUCAACAAACAGCCUCCUCUCUGCGUAUCCACCACUCACAGGAACAUUGAACUUACUGCCGCCGAACCGGGCGCGGAUCCCUUGCUGUGCGAGCUUGGUAUUAUUAUUAUUUUUUAAAAAAAGUUGUUUUAAACCACUAGAGUAUAACAGCAAGAUGUCCAGCAGUGUCCCAGCUGACAUGUCUUGGACUCUCCAAUGCCUCACUGAAUGCUUGCAGCUACAGCUAUACUAUUUAACACUGAUGAUGCAAGAGAGCACCUCUGAAGUCCUGACAAAUGAAGAGCCAAGCCAAGCACUUAAUGGUCCUGUUCAGAUAACUGAGGGCAAAUAUCUUGAUGAAAGAUUGGAUAAAACCAUAGUCUAAAUGAAGGAGAAAAGUUCCAUUUCUUUUCCCAUCUAGCCUUCAGAGGAAGGACAACAAAAAUUGAUACAGAGUGUGACUGUCUCACUCUGAAGUUUUUAGUGAUGUCCUGUUUGAAGAACACUACAUAAACUCUACUGAACUACAGUACAAGAACUUUUAAUUAGGUGGGAAUGUGAAUUUUUAUUAGUAAUAAUACUAGGCCAAACU